CCUACGGUGUGCUGCAGUGAGGAAUAUUGGUCAAUGGCCGGAAGGCUGAACCAGCCAAGCCGCGUGAGGGAGGAAGGCGCAGAGCGUCGCAGACCUCUUUUGCCGGGGGACAAAAGGCCGGACUCGUCCGGUCCUGAGGGUACCCGGAGAAAAAACAUCGGCGACCUCCGUUCCAGCAGCCGCGGUACUACGGAGGAUGCGAGCGUUAUCCGGAUUCAUUGGGUUUAAAGGGUGCGCAGGCGGGCCUUUAGGCCGGCGUUGAAAGCGCGGGGCUCAACCCCGCCGAGCCGUCGGCACUGGGGGCCUUGAGUGCGGCGGAGGCAUGCGGAAUGCGCGGUGUAGCGGUGAAAUGCAUAGAUAUCGCGCAGAACCCCGAUUGCGAAGGCAGCGUGCCGUGCCGCCACUGACGCUGAGGCACGAAAGCGCGGGGAUCGAACAGGAUUAGAUACCCUGGUAGUC
rnacentral:rRNA from 1 species